rnacentral:rRNA from 1 species
ACUCAAUAGAUACCCGGGUAGUCCACGCCCUAAACGAUGUCUACUAGUUGUUGGUGGAGUAAAAUCCAUGAGUAAACGCAGCUAAACGCGUGAAGUAGACCGCCUGGGGAGUACGGUCGCAAGAUUAAAAACUCAAAGGAAUUGACGGGGGCCCGCACAAGCGGUGGAUUAUGUGGAUUAAAUUCGAUGCAACGCGAAAAACCUUACCUGGCCUUGACAUGCCACUAACGAAGCAGAGAUGCAUUAGGUGCCCGUAAGGGAAAGUGGACACAGGUGCUGCAUGGCUGUCGUCAGCUCGUGUCGUGAGAUGUUGGGUUAAGUCCCGCAACGAGCGCAACCCUUGCCAUUAAUUGCCAUCAUUUAGUUGGGCACUUUAAUGGGACUGCCGGUGACAAACCGGAGGAAGGUGGGGAUGACGUCAAGUCCUCAUGGCCCUUAUGGCCAGGGCUUCACACGUAAUACAAUGGUCGGUACAGAGAGUUGCCAACCCGCGAGGGGAGCUAAUCCCAGAAAGCCGAUCGUAGUCCGGAUUGUUCUCUGC